CUAGCUGUAAACGAUGGAUACUAGGCGUUGAGAGUAUCGACCCUCUCAGUGUCGUAGUUAACGCGUUAAGUAUCCCGCCUGGGGAGUACGCGCGCAAGCGUGAAACUCAAAGGAAUUGACGGGGGCCCGCACAAGCGGUGGAGUAUGUGGUUUAAUUCGAUGCAACGCGAAGAACCUUACCAGGGCUUGACAUGUCCGGAACCCUGCCCAAAGGCGGGGGUGCCUACGGGAACCGGAACACAGGUGGUGC
rnacentral:rRNA from 1 species